rnacentral:rRNA from 1 species
CAGUAGCCGCGGGAAUACGGAGGAUCCAAGCGUUAUCCGGAAUCAUUGGGUUUAAAGGGUCCGUAGGCGGUCUUGUAAGUCAGUGGUGAAAGCCCAUCGCUCAACGGUGGAACGGCCAUUGAUACUGCAGGACUUGAAUUAUUGGGAAGUAACUAGAAUAUGUAGUGUAGCGGUGAAAUGCUUAGAGAUUACAUGGAAUACCAAUUGCGAAGGCAGGUUACUACCAAUUGAUUGACGCUGAUGGACGAAAGCGUGGGUAGCGAACAGGAUUAGAUACCCCGGUAGUCCCUGUCUCUUAUAA